rnacentral:rRNA from 1 species
AGAGCGGCGUACGGGUGCGGAACACGUGUGCAACCUUGCCUUUAUCUGGGGGAUAGCCUUUCGAAAGGAGGAUUAAUACCCCAUGAUAUGUUGAAUGGCAUCAUUCGACAUUGAAAACUCCGGUGGAUAGAGAUGGGCACGCGCAAGAUUAGAUAGUUGGUGAGGUAACGGCUCACCAAGUCUACGAUCUUUAGGGGGGCCUGAGAGGGUGAUCCCCCACACUGGUACUGAGACACGGACCAGACUCCUACGGGAGGCAGCAGUGAGGAAUAUUGGACAAUGGGUGAGAGCCUGAUCCAGCCAUCCCGCGUGAAGGACGACUGCCCUAUGGGUUGUAAACUUCUUUUGUAUAGGGAUAAACCUACCCUCGUGAGGGUAGCUGAAGGUACUAUACGAAUAAGCACCGGCUAACUCCGUGCCAGCAGCCGCGGUAAUACGGAGGGUGCAAGCGUUAUCCGGAUUUAUUGGGUUUAAAGGGUCCGUAGGCGGAUCUGUAAGUCAGUGGUGAAAUCUCACAGCUUAACUGUGAAACUGCCAUUGAUACUGCAGGUCUUGAGUGUUGUUGAAGUAGCUGGAAUAAGUAGUGUAGCGGUGAAAUGC